CAAUUCAAGAUGUAGUUACGGCAUAGGAAAUCAGAGUGACUCCACGCAUCAAUGACUAGGAAGACUUCCUUGUUAUUUUCGGGAGUUUCUCCUUCCUUUGCCUUAGGUGCCUCCUCAUUGAGAAACUUAGCCAAAUUCAUGGUAGUAAGGUAGAAGAACAUUUUGUUCUUCCAAGUAGAAAAGUCCGUACCCGUGAAUUUGUUAGGUUUUUCGGCCGCGCCGACAACCUUAGGAGCGGCAUCAUUGAUUGAAGCCAUCUACACGAAUUUAUUUAAGCAACGGUUUAAAAUAGAAGAAUUUAAAAUAUAUGAAAAUUCAAAAUUCCAUAUUUAUCUUCUCAGUACCAAACCCAAACUUUAUUCUAAUGUUAAAACAAAGAAUAAAUAGUUUAUCCAAAAUUAGGUACAAAUGAUUGUUUAAAUGGUUUUAAACGAAACAGCAAAUGAAUGCAUUAUUUUUAUAAAAUCAAAAUUCAAAAAGCAAUAUAUUAGUAUAAAAUAGUGACCCAUGGUAAUGAAUAUAUCAAUAUCCGAGAUUUUAGAAUCAGACUUCUCUCUUUCGAGACUUCUAACAUAAUACAAAACAAGUUUGACUUUGAUUAUAAAAAAUAAUGAAGUCCCAAGUUUUGUGCACAGAGAAGUUUUACGCAAACUUUUGUAAACCAGAGGUAAAAUUCUCACGGCAUAAGAAAAUUACGCAGAUGUUAUAAAACAAAGAAAUUUAUAUUGUCUUAAGAUUGUUGGUAUAAUUAGAUAACAAUCUACGUAAACGAAAAUUACUUACUUGUUUGUCGAAAAGAGAAAUUGUGAAAACCACAAAGAACGAUCGAGGCUUGCCAAAGCAAUUCCCUUAAGACAAUAUUUCCGGGCUGUCAACGGUGCACAGUCUCUUCCCGGUAGUCUCCCAAGGUACAACGAUCGGUUGUCGAAUAUUUGCACGAAUAUUCGACCCACGGCGAACUUGAACAACGAACGGAACUUUGAC